rnacentral:rRNA from 1 species
CCUACGGGACGCAGCAGUGGGGAAUAUUGCACAAUGGGGGAAACCCUGAUGCAGCGACGCCGCGUGAGCGAUGAAGUAUUUCGGUAUGUAAAGCUCUAUCAGCAGGGAAGAAGAUGACGGUACCUGACUAAGAAGCCCCGGCUAACUACGUGCCAGCAGCCGCGGUAAUACGUAGGGGGCAAGCGUUAUCCGGAUUUACUGGGUGUAAAGGGAGCGUAGACGGCGAUGCAAGCCAGAUGUGAAAGCCCGGGGCUCAACCCCGGGACUGCAUUUGGAACUGUGUGGCUGGAGUGUCGGAGAGGCAG